rnacentral:rRNA from 1 species
AGUGAACGCUGGCGGUAGGCCUAACACAUGCAAGUCGAACGAGUGGCGGACGGGUGAGGAAUACAUCGGAAUCUACUCUGUCGUGGGGGAUAACGUAGGGACACUUACGCUAAUACCGCAUACGAUUGAAUGAGCCGAUGAUGGAUUAGCUAGUUUGCGGGGUAACGGCCCACCAAGGCGACGAUCCGUAGCUGGUCUGUGAGGAUGACCAGCCACAGUGGAACUGAGACACGGGCCAGACUCCUACGGGAGGCAGCAGUGUGGAAUAUUGGACAAGGGGCGCAAGCCUGAUCCAGCCAUACCGCGUGGGUGAAGAAGGCCGUCGGGUGUUAAAGCCCUUUUGUUGGUAAAGCGGUACCCAAAAAAUAAUCACCGGCUAACUUAGUGCCAGCCGCCGCGGUAAUAC